UACGUAGGGGGCAAGCGUUGUCCGGAUUCAUUGGGCGUAAAGCGCGUGUAGGCGGCUGAGUAGGUCUGAUGUGAAAACUCGAGGCUCAACCUCGAGACGUCGUCAGAAACCACUCGGCUAGAGUCCGGAAGAGGAGAGUGGAAUUCCUGGUGUAGCGGUGAAAUGCGCAGAUAUCAGGAAGAACACCAAUGGCGAAGGCAGCUCUCUGGGACGGUACUGACGCUGAGACGCGAAAGCGUGGGGAGCGAAC
rnacentral:rRNA from 1 species